UGCAGUUCCAACGCUAAAUGAGUCUGCACAGUGCGCAGCAGGGUUCUUCGUGCUGGAAGCUAUUCCUAUACUAGGACGGCUACAAUAACUAUACCCGAGUUGUGAUUGCAGUUACUCUAUUCUCUCUUGGCCAUUGUGGAGUAAUGGCAUGUUGGGGAGGUUAUCAUUCAGGCCACAGUUUACAGGACCCUGAGAACACAUGUAAUUCUGAAGUAAAAGAAUGUAAGUCACCUGGAGAUUUGGAACUCAAGACUCAGGCCUGACUGAUCAAAGCACCACACAUUCCUGACCACAAGGUCUUGUUCAGGGAUGGACACGUGACCUCAGAACCAAAAGGGUGAAAUAUUGGAAUACUUGCUGGGACUACUGAGAAAGGAGUACUCUUUUUUUUACAGCUGGAUCUGAACCUGGAAGGUAACUCCACAGUUAUCUUUCCUCCACAUAGAG